GGACUUCGGCUGAUUUUCGCUAGGGUGAGGAUGGGCGUUCGGGCUUUCAUCGCGGAUUCGGAUCGCCGUACUCUCUUAGGAAAAGAAGACCAGAUGAUAAUGAGGAUGACAACUACCGUCCCCCUCGUUCGAAGAGGAUUAAGAAGGACCAGGACAUACAGGAACAUCAUGCUAUAGAGUCUGGAUUUUCCUGGCUUCAUACAUCCCUCCUAGCUCUCGCCUAGUUAAUCCACAAGCCUCCACUUUCACUUUUCUUCCUGGAGCAGGGCUCAGUGUGGCCCCCAGCUCAGACUAGACCCCCACGGAUCCACUGCAGAAAUGGGAUCCAAUGUCAAUUUCCGUGCCCUCAUGUAUAGCCACUGUGAGUAGCUCUCAAGAGGCCUCAGCAGCCCCUCAGCCUUCCUCUUCAGAAAAGCUAAGCAUGGGUCUCAGCAUCUUGAGCGUCAGCCCCAGCCCCCGCUCCAGUGUCCUGCUUCUCUGUCAGAGGGGCUGUUCCAGAGCAGGCCCGGGAGAAGAAGGCCUGUGGCAGCAGUACUGGGAGAAGCAGGCUUUCCUCAGAGGAAGAAAGUCUUCCUGAGGCAUUCGAGACGCUGGCACCGGGAUCACAUGGCACCUUACCUGCUUGAAAGUGAUCUCAGAGGCUUUCCCUCAGGUGACAAAGCUCAGAAUCAGUUCUGAUGUCAGGGCCACGUGCAGAAUAUUGCUGGGAUGAGUGGGCAGAAGAACGCGGCCCCUAACCCUCCCUCCUGGGAAAUGCUGGUGCAGGGUCUCAAUGGCCUUACCCUCAGCUUGGGAGCCAACAGACCCGUCCCCCUGCCAGAGGAACCUUGGCAGCAGCAGGAGCCAGAGGACAUGCGCCAGCUGGAGAGGCAGCAGGAAAACCUGAAGAUGUUCCAGAGGAUGCUCAAGUAGAGGAUGUAAGAAGGCGGAGGUGCUGACUCACAGAUGAUAAAUACAUUUAGAAGGUGCUGCAUUGGUGUCUUAUGGGUGUGAACUCCUCUGAGGUCAAAGCAGUCCACUGCCAGUGGAUGUGUCCCAACACUUGUGCUAUGAUGUGAAUUGUCCUUGGAAAGAUCUCAACUACCCUGCCUGUCUUUUAGCAUGCCUUUUUGGAUGUGGUGCUAAGUGUUAGCCUAUACAGAAGAAACCUGGGUACACGUGAUCCCCAAAUAUGUGUGAUGUGAUUCAUAUACUGAGAGUUUUUACUGAUUUUUCUUAAGCUCAAUACCUCCUUCAACUUCUUGUUAAAAAGAACUGAUACCAUUUGUAUAUCUAUGUAUAUCUGUGUAUAUAGAGAGAAGACAUACAUCCACCUGCC
rnacentral:lncRNA from 1 species